GUCGUUCCACGAUGGACGUGAUGACCUGGCACCAAAACCGCUUAAUGUGUAUGAAGCUGUCUGCAUCGAGGGAAGAACCCAGCACUGAAGUGACACAAAUGAAAGAAGAGGACUUCUGCUCUGCUGGGUCUGCGACACUACUUAUCUGAGGAGUCCUCAAACAUCAGGAUGUAGGAAACUUGUGGUGAGAUGCCAAGAGCCGCCAUGAGGGAUAUGCAACCUGCAGCUUCACCGUGCUUUUGGGAGAUCAUCUACUACGUGAACCUUGAGUAUCUACAAGCCAGCU